CCUACGGGUGGCAGCAGUGAGGAAUAUUGGUCAAUGGACGAGAGUCUGAACCAGCCAAGUAGCGUGAAGGAUGACUGCCUUAUGGUUUGUAAACUUCUUUUAUAUGGGAAUAAAACAGGGUAUGCAUACCCUCUUGUAUGUACCAUAUGAAUAAGGAUCGGCUUACCACGUGCCAGCAGCCGCGGUAAGACGGAGGGUACGAGCGUUAUUCGGAUUUAUUGGGUUUAAAGGGAACGUAGGUGGAUUGUUAAGUCAGUUGUGAAAGUUUGCGGCUCAACCGUAGAAUUGCAGUUGAAACUGGCAGGCUUGAGUACAGUAGAGGUGGGCGGAAUUCGUGGUGUAGCGGUGAAAUGCUUAGAUAUCACGAAGAACUCCGAUUGCGAAGGCAGCUCACUGGACUGCAACUGACACUGAUGCUCGAAAGUGUGGGUAUCAAACAGGAUUAGAUACCCUGGUAGUC
rnacentral:rRNA from 1 species